GAUGAACGCUGGCGGCGUGCCUAAUACAUGCAAGUCGAGCGAACGGACGAGAAGCUUGCUUCUCUGAUGUUAGCGGCGGACGGGUGAGUAACACGUGGAUAACCUACCUAUAAGACUGGGAUAACUUCGGGAAACCGGAGCUAAUACCGGAUAAUAUUUUGAACCGCAUGGUUCAAAAGUGAAAGACGGUCUUGCUGUCACUUAUAGAUGGAUCCGCGCUGCAUUAGCUAGUUGGUAAGGUAACGGCUUACCAAGGCAACGAUGCAUAGCCGACCUGAGAGGGUGAUCGGCCACACUGGAACUGAGACACGGUCCAGACUCCUACGGGAGGCAGCAGUAGGGAAUCUUCCGCAAUGGGCGAAAGCCUGACGGAGCAACGCCGCGUGAGUGAUGAAGGUCUUCGGAUCGUAAAACUCUGUUAUUAGGGAAGAACGUAUGUGUAAGUAACUGUGCACAUCUUGACGGUACCUAAUCAGAAAGCCACGGCUAACUACGUG
rnacentral:rRNA from 1 species